AUAUGUAUAUAUUUAACUACCACUGGAAUGUAGUUAAAGCCUCAUGUUAUUUUGCUCAUGUUAUCGAUUGGUGCAUCCUCAGCCUGGUUUACAAGAAUAAACUCGUGAAUGUUUAAAAAUAUUAGGACACUAUCGGGUUGAUCCCAGUAGAAGGUUACAUGUUCCCUUAAAACAUCCUUACAGAACUUAAUCUUAUCAGAACAGAUGAGAUGUAGAUUAACAGAAGAAGUUAGAUGGAUAAGUGCUGCAACUCAAUACAUGUUUUUUACAUUCAGUAUAUUUAGCGUUGGUUGCUUCAGAUGUUGUAGAGGAGUGUAGUCUUUAAAUGAAAUGAAAAAUGUCAGUGGAAAGUAUGUCAAUGUGUGACCUUUGGACUUUGUGAUGUAAUGUCAAAGAGAGGCCACAGAAACCUGACUACCGAGCAGUGGGAUUGUUUCUGCUUUGCUGCCAUCUAGUGUUUCCUGGUUGUGACUGCAGUGUUCACUGUGGUGUUCACCGUCCGUGUGUUUUCAUUGGCCAGGUUCGAGGAGAAAGCCCAGUCGGAGCCACUGAGCGCGCUCAAAUACCUGCAGAACGACCUGUCACUGACGGUGGACCACACUGACCCCGAUGAGACCAAAGAGUUCCAGCUGCUGCCCUCAGCUCUCUUCAAGUCCAGCUCUGACUUCAUCCCUCUGGGUUUCUCAGACGUGGACCAGACGUACGCUCAGCGGACGCAGCUCUUCGACACGCUCGUCAACUUCUUCCCAGACAGCAUGACUCCGCCCAAGGGCAACCUGGUCGACCUCAUCACGCUCUAGCCCCCCCGACACCUUUCCCCUCCCCACUGGAAACCGACUGAACACCCACCCAUCCGCACGCCCGGUUGGGACGUAGGAGACAGAGACCAGUUAUUUUUCUACUCCUGAAUCCGUUUGGUGGGAUUAAACAUCUGGAACUCCGUCACACUGACUUCCUGCUGCUGCCACGGUCUGCAUCGGCCGGUGGUGAGGGUCGGACACACACACACACACACACACACACACACACACACACACACACAACAACAACAUUGUGGUAUUCGGAUAUGUGUGAGACUCGACGACCCGAGCUGUUUCUCUUUUCCCUUUUGGGUUUUCUCUUGCUGAUGAACGUUUCUGGAAGCUCCUCUAAACUCGGCCAAACAUCGCUUGUGUUUUUCAUCUUCACUUGGAGAGUGAAAACAUGAUAUGCACGCAUUUAUUUUCAGUCUUUCUUUUUUUUUUUCAUAGACUUUUCCUGUUUUUCGUAUUGGAUUUGUGCUUCGUACCGAUGCCCACACCCACGCACAGCCCCCUACAGGCGUCCAUUCACGUGUUUAUAGCGAAACAUGUGACGUCCGUUCUGGCCAAUUGUUGCGAAAGUCCAGUUAAAAAUUCAUCCUCUGUUCUUUUUGGUAACAUUUCAGCAUCUCCUGCAAGAUCCCAAAGUACACUUACAUUUUGGUUCGCUUGCUUCUCUGCAACACGUUCAGCUCCGAUUCCUGACGGCCAUGCAGAGGCCACAACAAUUUAAUAGUGUUGUAUUAACAAUAGAGGAAUGAUUCCAUGAGAUAAAGCUUAAUAUAUAUCUAAAUAUACCUUUAUAUAUUGGUUUAGGUUGUAAAACUGGCUUUUUUCCCCUCAUUAGUUUAUGGACUUAAUUCUAAAUGGUGUACAGAAUAUGUAAAUAUACAUAUAGGGAUUUUCUUUUUGUUUAAUUUUUUUGGGUGUGCAUUGAAUCGAUUCCGUGCUGGAUCAUGAUCUCUCUUGUUCCUCUUUACCUAAAAGUCAGGGUCCCCAUACAGCAACUUGCUGGCUCUACAUUGAAUUACUCGUAUUUAUUGGGAAGAAUUCAAAGCGGUUGGUGUGCGCGUGCGAAUGAAGUGCUGGUGCCAGUAUUCCAGUUUGACUAUUGGAGUGGGGAAAAGGGCAUUUUGUGUCAAAGUGUGUUGACCAGAUGUUCCUCAGUGUGAUGAAAUAAUCACUGAGAUUUUCCUUUUUUUCCUCCAAAAAAUCCCACAAGUCGGCCUGAAUACAUUUGUGAAGUUACAGCAGAGGCAAAAGGAUAGUUUGGAUGUUUUGAAGUGUGGUUGUACGAGGUACUUCUCAGAGUCGGUGUAUUUCCUGCUGUAGAUGGAGUUUGGAGAAACAAACAUGAGUUAUAGCCGUUAUCUCUGCUCUCUUCAAAGCCACCAGACUUCUUUGACAGAAACGGUAGUUUUAGCUCUCAGAACACAGGGUUUGCUGCUCUACCGCUGCCUCCAUCGGUUAGUUUGUUUGUGUUUAUGUGUGACUUUGGUGUUUUAAAGGGUUAGUUUGGAUUUACCAAAGUCACACAAUAACACAAAGAAACUAACCAAUUAAGGCGGCAGUAGACCAGCAGCUCCUGUGUACGGUCUGGUUCUUCAAACUCCUUCCACUGUAGUAAUACACUGACUAUGGAGAAGUACCUCAUACAACCCCACUUCUAAACAUCCACACGGUCCCUUUAAGCAGAACCAGCGUCCUCCAUUACAAAACAUGACACUAGAUGUACUCUCAUUAGGAGGAAUGUGACACUGCUGAUUUGUAGUUGAUCUGUUUGGUAAAGGAAGAAGUGACGCGGGUUCCCACCAACACAGUAGCUCUGGAAUGUCUUUAACACGUUUCCGAUAAUCCCUCACACAUGAUGUCAAAUAUUGGUUGUAGCAUCACUAAAAAAAGAAUCAUGCAAUAUCAAAAUUUAGGGUAAAAAAAAAAAAGGUGUGCUGUUUGAGAGGCCAGUUUUUUUAACAAGUUUUCUUCUGUACGAAAAGACGGAAAAAAAGUAAGGGUGGUGUUUGAGUUCACCAGCAGACAGUGGAGCUGAUGUCAGAUACUGCUCUAAUGAUUCACCUGCUCACAUGCGCGUAGUGUUGAAGUUGAAAGGUUUACCUCUGCUGUCAGCCAAUCAUCACUGGGGGAUGUGUGGGGGUCCUUGUUCAUUGGUGCUCUCUCAGUUUGCUCAUCUAUUGUCUUCCAUGACUUCCAUCAACACCGAUCGUCUCUCCCAGUGCUGCGUUCAUAACAAACCGGGCUUCAUUGGAACACUACGCCACUCGCUGUCAUCUCUGGCACAUCUGCUACGACUGUUAAACCUCAAUUUGUACAUAUUUGUGUCCAGGAUCAGUGCAAUCCCUGCUUAUGAGCUUGAAGACAAAAGGACAUCAUCAACAAAAGAGCUGAAUUGGGUCCAACGACCCAAGUCAGUUUAUUUAUUGGUGAAUUGAAACAUCUCUUUCAUGUUAAACACUACUUUGACUGGAGCGUCACAUUUGUAAACGAGUGUAAUUCAGGGUUGAUUGAACAUGAUUUAUGAGUUUAUUGGAUGAUAAUUCACCUUUUAUGCUCUUAUCUUUGAAGGUACAGGAUGGAGCUAUCCCAGUCUUUAUGCUAUGCUAAGCUAACUGUCUGUUGGCGGUAGCUUCAUAUUUAGCCCACAGGCACGAGAGUGGUGUCGAUCUUCUCAUCUGAUCCUUAGCAAGAAAGCAAAUUUUCCAAUAUUAUCUCGACUCCUUCUUUAAGGGAACAUGAGUUGUUGCAAAAACAAUCAGUGGUAUGGUCCUGAAGUGUUGCUUGAGCUUGGAAUGGAAUAUUUUGAUGCUUUUACAUUGAAUGCACUCGAUGUGAAAUCUCUACCUGGUGAAUUCAGCCAAGAGGCCUCACCUCCUCACUUGCUUCGUCCUGCUUUAGAUUUCAUAAGGUGUUUGUUUACACUACAAUGGAGAGCUUCCCAUUAUGCGCGCUGAAGUUCAACAUGUAAAACCUGCGAUGUUUGCUGCUCUGCUGAUACGCUCUUCAUGUCAUCGAUCCUGCUGGUGUGUUUUCACCGACACUAAGACGAGAGUAGUUAUUUCAGACCGAUGGAGCGACAGACUCAACACAAACAUCACUAAAUUCAUCGGUGGAGGAAAGUAAAAGCUGGAACAAUUCACCACGAUGGAGCAGCACUUCCCCCAAAAAAAUGUUUUGUGCUCUUGUUUUGUUGCCGGCGGAUGACAAUAGCAACGUUCUGAAGCGGAAACGCUGAU